GACGAACGCUGGCGGCGUGCUUAACACAUGCAAGUCGAACGGAAAGGCCCUGCUUUUGUGGGGUGCUCGAGUGGCGAACGGGUGAGUAACACGUGAGUAACCUGCCCUUGACUUUGGGAUAACUUCAGGAAACUGGGGCUAAUACCGGAUAGGAGCUCCUGCUGCAUGGUGGGGGUUGGAAAGUUUCGGCGGUUGGGGAUGGACUCGCGGCUUAUCAGCUUGUUGGUGGGGUAGUGGCUUACCAAGGCUUUGACGGGUAGCCGGCCUGAGAGGUUGACCGGCCUCGUUGGUACUGAGAUACGGCCCAGGCUCCUACGGGUGGCAGCAGUGGGGAAUAUUGCACAAUGGGCGGACGCCUGAUGCAGCAACGCCGCGUGCGGGAUGACGGCCUUCGGGUUGUAAACCGCUUUCGCCUGUGACGAAGCGUGAGUGACGGUAAUGGGUAAAGAAGCACCGGCUAACUACGUG
rnacentral:rRNA from 1 species